AGAUAAGUCUUCAAAGUACAAGUUAAACUCAUGGCUAGGGCCUUAGCAUCGAUUUAGGUCAAGUUGGGUGAUUUGAAUGUCCUCUGGUGCACAAAUCAUAUCGAAUAUGUGCCAUUAGAGCACAUAUUUUGGCUUCAAUCAACCAUCCUUUUGGAAUCUAUUUAACUCCUUGUGGAAUGUUAGAUACCAUUAAGAAUCUCUAGUGGAUCAAGCAAAUGAAUUGGAUCGAUAGGCUUGUUUGAAGAGGGAGAUGUCAAGAAUGUUUAUGGUCGAGUGAUUAUGGGAUGUGCGAAAUUUGGAAAUGUCAGGUGUGAAGCAAAAUUCAAAAUGAAAUGAAAUAGGAGAGAAUGGUAGAAUGGGUGAGCCACCCAUUCAAGAAUAGAGGAAGCAAGUAGGUUUUCUAUGACAAUCUGCUGAAAGAAAAGAUGUUUCAUCAUAUUGAUGAUAACAGGAAGUACUGAUGCACUCAGAGUGUUUAUCCAGAUUGAAUGUGUCUUUGCUAGAUCAAUUUGUGUGCAUAGAUAUAGAAAUAUGUGUAAAUAUAAUCCAAAGCUAUGAAGCUCGUAGUCUUGAACCUGUUCAUCUUAUUCACAAACCCUUUCCAAUUGUGGUGGAGACGGGAUGAGUCAAUUCAUUGGGCCCAUUACCAUCCAUCUCUAAACAAAACUAUAAUGUGGGAUUCCAUCCAAAACCAUCAAGGUGUAUUAUCAUGGAAAACAAUUUGUUUUUUGUCCCUUUACUAUGACUCUCCAUCUUGAUCUUGAGCAUGAGGAAGUUCCUUAUUAGGAUGCUACUAUAAUUUGAGAAAAUUUUAAACAUUUAAUUUUGAUGCUUUUGUGCUCCAUCAAUAUUCACAAGUUCUGUGUAUGUCUACUGAUGAUUCUCAACCAUAAACUGAAUCUACCACUUUGUUGUUGACUGUAAAGAAAAUCGUUUUGCCAUCCAUGGGAACCUAUAUUGACCACCAGCCAUGCUACUGGCUAUAAUAGAUCUGGAACAUUGUUACAAUGAAAUUUGAUCUGCAGUAAAGUAGCAUGGUUGGGCAAAACAAACAAUAACCCCUCCCUGCAUCAAUAUUCAGCAACCUGUAUGUGUUUAACCAGAAUUUCUUGGAUCAUGAUUUAUCAAUUUGAGCUGUGCUUGGAGGGAUUGAAGAGCUAAAAGAUCUGUUGAAGAUUGACUGGAAAAAAAUUGAUGGUUCCAUGGAUAGUGAGCUGUAUUUUAGCUACAGGUUUCUGGGAUUGAAGAGCCAAAAAGACCCAUUGAAAGGGUCGGUCCUAGAAAAAUGUUUACGGCUCUAUGGAUUUGCGCUGCACAUUGGACUACUUACAGAGCAACUGCUUCCAAAAGGAAUUAUUCAAAUUGCAGAAUGUUAGUUUCUUCCUGGAGCUGGAAGAAACACAGCCUCCACAAUUGCUCUGUGUUGGACAACAAUUGCUACUGAAGUGAUUCUAGUUGCUUCCAAAAAGAAUUAUCCAAAUUGCGGAAUGCUAGUUUCUUCCUGGAAGAUCCAUAGCCUCCACAACUGCUCUGUAUUGGGCAACCAUUGCUACUGAAGUGAUUCUGGGAUGCUGGUGGAAAUUUAGAUGAUGGGGGUAUCAUAGCUGGACAAACAAUCUAUGGAUGCCACUGUAAGAAUCUUAACACCCCAUUUCACUACACUUCUGCAGGAUCACCUUCUAGGAUAAGGUUUAAUAAGAAAGAAAAUAAUUCUCAUAAUGGUUUCGAAUACAGCAUUCUGAUUUUUGCAUCUCAUGUUGGAGGAACGUGUUCUUGUUUCAAGCUAGUUACAAGUUGUCUCAUGUUGUUCUAAGUGCUUGAUUGAUUGUGUACAGAACAGAAAUCUGAGUCAAAUGUUAGGCUUGUUUAGCUCACCCUCCUGCAGAAUUUAUCAAUCAUCUACCUAGUUAAGUAAUUGCAGUAAUAUAUGGUGGCCCAUGAUCUAGCUCAACGAUGGUGUCCUCUGGCAAUAAAUCAUGACAUAGGAAAGAGAGGUGGGCUCAUAUGACUUGCUUAUUCUCAAAUGUCAUUUCACUAUUUGAACAUGUUACAAAUUAGGCACUUUCUGGAAAUCUGGAAAAUCAUGGAGUCUUGUCUAUUUUCACUGUUAAACCAAAUCUGAAGAGACUUGAAUCUGAAAAAAUAAAUCAUAGUUAAUGUGUCCUGCUGA